CUUGACUCUGGGAUAAGCCUGGGAAACUGGGUCUAAUACCGGAUACGACCAUCUGGCGCAUGUCAUGGUGGUGGAAAGCUUUUGUGGUUUUGGAUGGACUCGCGGCCUAUCAGCUUGUUGGUGGGGUAAUGGCCUACCAAGGCGACGACGGGUAGCCGGCCUGAGAGGGUGACCGGCCACACUGGGACUGAGACACGGCCCAGACUCCUACGGGAGGCAGCAGUGGGGAAUAUUGCACAAUGGGCG
rnacentral:rRNA from 1 species